rnacentral:rRNA from 1 species
UACAGAGGUCUCAAGCGUUGUUCGGAUUCAUUGGGCGUAAAGGGUGCGUAGGCGGUUCGGUAAGUCGGCUGUGAAAGUCCAGGGCUCAACCCUGGGAUGCCGGUCGAUACUGCCGGACUAGAGUUCGGAAGAGGCGAGUGGAAUUCCCGGUGUAGCGGUGAAAUGCGCAGAUAUCGGGAGGAACACCAAUGGCGAAGGCAGCUCGCUGGGACGUUACUGACGCUGAGACGCGAAAGCGUGGGGAGCAAACAGG